rnacentral:tRNA from 1 species
GUUUCCGUAGUGUAGUGGUUAUCACGUCCGCUUUACACGCGAAAGUUUCCCGGUUCGAGCCCGGGCGGAAACA